GCAGGUGUAGCACAAUGGUUCAGUGUAGGAGACUUCCAAUCUUCUGAUGAGGGUUCGAUUCUCAUUAUCUGCU
rnacentral:tRNA from 1 species